CUACCAAAAGUUAAAUUUCGAGGGCAAAGUUUUUAAAUAAGCUUUACCAAUCUAGGCUGUUUGGGAGACUAAAAGACCACACUCCACAGUGAACUAUACCACUCAGUAUAGUUCAUUACUAUUUUGUGGCUACAUU
ensembl:snoRNA